AUGAGGGCUGCCGCCAUUGUUGUACUGGUAAGAAGGAGAUGAGUUUGGGUAGUUGUACUGAUUUGGGUGGUUCACUUGCUGAAAGGAAGGAGGAGGCUGAGGGUGCCCUCCAGUGGGGGCGUUGCUGUAGCUGUUGGACUGGUAGGAAGGUGGGGAAUUAGGGUUCUGAGGGGCAAAACUGGUGAAGUUGGUGUAAGAGGGGGAGUGGGCUGUGCCAGGUGUUGCACUGCUGUAGCCGUUGGAUUGGUAGGGAGGUGGGGGAUUAGGGUUUUCAGAGCCGAAACCGGUGAAGUUGGAAGAUGGGUUUGUGCCAAAUGUUGCACUGUUGUAGCCACUGGACUGGUAGGAAGGAGGGGGAUUAGGGUUCUGAGAGGCAAAACCGGGGUUGGUGUAAGAGGGGGAAUGGUGGGUUGUGCCAGGAGUCGCACUGUUGUAGCCGCUGGACUGGUAGGGAGGUGGGGGAUUAGGAUUUCCAGAGCUGAAACCGGUGAAGCUGGAAGAUGGGUUUGCGCCAGCUGCUCCACUGUUGUAGCCAUUUGAUUGGUAGGAAAGCGGGGAAUCAGGGCUGUGAGAGCCAAAGCUGGUGAAGCUGGUGUUAGGGGGGGACUGGGUAGCGCCAGGUGUAGCGUUGCUGUAGCCAUUGGAUUGCGAUGAAGGUGGGGAAUUAGGGUUUUCAGAGCCGAAGCUCGUGAAGUUGGUGUAUGGUGGGGGCUGUGGGUUCCCAGGAAUGCUUCCAGCGGCUGAG
rnacentral:lncRNA from 1 species